rnacentral:rRNA from 1 species
CAUCGCCUCUUGAUCCCCGAUAAGAGGUCCAGCCUGCCCAGUGACACUGUUCAACGGCCGCGGUAUCCUAACCGUGCGAAGGUAGCGUAAUCACUUGUUCUUUAAAUGAGGACUAGUAUGAAAGGCACCACGAGAGUCAUGCUGUCUCCUUUUUCUAAUCAGUGAAACUAAUCUCCCCGUGAAGAAGCGGGGAUAAAAAUAUAAGACGAGAAGACCCUAUGGAGCUUUAAACAAAUAAUACUUGCCUACUUCUUUCUAAUUUCAGAAAAACUACCCACCCUGGCACCAUAAUUACUAGUUUUCGGUUGGGGUGACCGCGGAACAAAAACCAACCUCCGCAAUGAAAUAUUCCUCCAUUAAGUCAAGGACUACAAUCCUACACACCAACAAAUUGACAUCGAUUGACCCAACAUGUUGAUCAAUGAACCAAGUUACCCUAGGGAUAACAGCGCAAUCCACUUCAAGAGCCCCUAUCGACAAGUGGGUUUACGACCUCGAUGUUGGAUCAGGGUGUCCCAGUGGUGCAGCCGCUACUAAAGGUUCGUUUGUUCAACGAUUAAAACCCU